AUUGAACGCUGGCGGCAUGCUUUACACAUGCAGGUCGAACGGCAGCACGGACUUCGGUCUGGUGGCGAGUGGCGAACGGGUGAGUAAUACAUCGGAACGUACCCAGUAAUGGGGGAUAACUAUCCGAAAGGAUAGCUAAUACCGCAUACGCCCUACGGGGGAAAGAGGGGGAUCGCAAGACCUCUUGUUAUUGGAGCGGCCGAUGGCUGAUUAGCUAGUUGGUAGGGUAAAGGCCUACCAAGGCAACGAUCAGUAGCGGGUCUUAGAGGACGAUCCGCCACACUGGAACUGAGACACGGUCCAGACUCCUACGGGAGGCAGCAGUGGGGAAUCUUGGACAAUGGGCGCAAGCCUGAUCCAGCAAUGCCGCGUGCGUGAAGAAGGCCUUCGGGUUGUAAAGCGCUUUUGUCAGGGAGCAAAUCCUUGUGGCUAAUACCCACCGGGGAUGAGAGUACCUGAAGAAUAAGGACCGGUUAACUACGUGCCAGCAGCCGCGGUAACAC
rnacentral:rRNA from 1 species